UCCACUUCCCCGUCCGGCGCGGCCGAGGGCAGAACGCCCAGUCCCGCAGCCCGCCCAGGGCUUCCCCUCGCCGGCCCCACGGCCGGGCCCGCCCGCCCUUUCCGGACUCCCCCUCCCCGCCUCCGGUGGCGGAGACGCCCCGACCCCCCCCCCCCCCGCAACACACCCCCCUCGCCUCCCGCCGCGGACUCACCUGUGCUUCGAUCGGUCCCGGCGGUCCCUGCCCUGCUCCGGGAGGCCCUUGGCCCUGUCCUGGCCCCGCCUGCCCGGGCCCGGGCGGGGUUUGGGUCUGGCUGGGGAGAGUGAAGUCGGUGAACUCGAACUCGGAGCCCUGCGUGUCGGCGCCGAGCAGCUCGGCCUCCUCGGUGUCCAAGAAGGAUAAAGCCUGGAAUUGAAACAGCAUGUACCAGAUUUGCAGCUGUGAGGCUGAAAAGAUCUAAAUGAACACUGAAAAGCAUCCUUGUCCUAGGAGUAUUGUGCACCAAAUACAAGAGGAGAAAGAACAAAUAAAGAGAAAUCAGGAGUCAUCA